rnacentral:rRNA from 1 species
GCCUACGGCCAUACCACCCUGAAUGCGCCCGAUCUCGUCCGAUCUCGGAAGCUAAGCAGGGUCGGGCCUGGUUAGUACUUGGAUGGGAGACCGCCUGGGAAUACCAGGUGCUGUAGGCA